CAGUAACCGCGGGAAUACAGAGGAUGCAAGCGUUAUCCGGAAUUAUUGGGCGUAAAGGGUGCGUAGGCGGUUUGACAAGUCUUAUGUGAAAUCUCUGGGCUCAACCCAGAGUCCGCAUGGGAAGCUGUCGGGCUUGAGUAUGGGAGAGGUGAGUGGAAUUUCCGGUGUAGCGGUGAAAUGCGUAGAUAUCGGAAGGAACACCUGUGGCGAAAGCACUCUGCUGGGCCGACACUGACACUGAGAGACGAAAGCUAGGGGAGCAAAUGGGAUUAGAUACCCGCGUAGUCCCUGUCUCUUAUAC
rnacentral:rRNA from 1 species